rnacentral:misc_RNA from 1 species
AAUCAUCAACCUCAAAACCUUUGUGUUUUCGAGGCUUGGUCUUGAGGGUUUGCAGGCCUUUACCGGUCAGCUCCCUUUAAAUCUAUUAGCGAGACUUCCCUGUGCUGACUGUCUCUUGGCGUGAUAAUUAUCUGCGUCAAACUUGACGGUCUCGUUGGGCUUGCUUCUAAUCGUCUUCGGACAACAGGAUCGAAGUGCAUAUAUGCGCCUCUUUUCAAACCUU